AAAAAAAAAAACCCUGAUAUUCACAUCCAACUUUUGAUGUCCGUCUUAUUUGAAAAAAUUAUAAAAAAAUUAAAAAAAUAAGUCAUGUAUAAAAUAUUAAUCAUGUUUUAUUAUCUAACAACAAUAAAAAUACUAAUUAUAAAAAAUUUUAUAUAAGACGAACAGUCAAACGUUGGCACGAGAACCUACGUUUUGCCUUUGU
rfam:Oryza nivara chromosome 8, whole genome shotgun sequence.